UACAGAGGCCUCAAGCGUUGUUCGGAAUCACUGGGCGUAAGGGUGCGUAGGCGGCGCGGAAAGUCAGGGGUGAAAUCCCGGAGCUCAACUCCGGAACUGCCUUUGAUACUCCCGCGCUUGAGAACUGGAGGGGACAUCGGAAUUCACGGUGGAGCAGUGAAAUGCGUGGAUAUCGUGAGGAACACUAGUGGCGAAGGCGGAUGUCUGGACAGUAUCUGACGCUGAGGCACGAAGGCCAGGGGAGCGAACGGG
rnacentral:rRNA from 1 species